AAGUCGUAACAAGGUUUCCGUAGGUGAACCUGCGGAAGGAUCAUUAACUUGAUUAAUAAUCUUCUUUUAUAAUUGGAUAUCAUAUAUAUAACCUUAACCGCUGGGGGCAUAUUUUAAAAAAUUUAUAAAAAUUUUUCUCUCCGCUGGGGGCCAUAUUUAUUUUAAAAAGUUUAAUUUAUUUAAUUGUGCAAAUUAUACUAUUUUUUAUAGUUAGUGAUGGAUAAAGUUUCUAAAAAAACUUUCAACAAUGGAUCUCUUGGCUCUU
rnacentral:misc_RNA from 1 species